AGUUUGAUCCUGGCUCAGGAUGAACGCUAGCUACAGGCUUAACACAUGCAAGUCGAGGGGCAGCAUGGUCUUAGCUUGCUAAGGCCGAUGGCGACCGGCGCACGGGUGAGUAACACGUAUCCAACCUGCCGUCUACUCUUGGACAGCCUUCUGAAAGGAAGAUUAAUACAAGAUGGCAUCAUGAGUUCACAUGUUCACAUGAUUAAAGGUAUUCCGGUAGACGAUGGGGAUGCGUUCCAUUAGAUAGUAGGCGGGGUAACGGCCCACCUAGUCUUCGAUGGAUAGGGGUUCUGAGAGGAAGGUCCCCCACAUUGGAACUGAGACACGGUCCAAACUCCUACGGGAGGCAGCAGUGAGGAAUAUUGGUCAAUGGGCGAGAGCCUGAACCAGCCAAGUAGCGUGAAGGAUGACUGCCCUAUGGGUUGUAAACUUCUUUUAUAAAGGAAUAAAGUCGGGUAUGUAUACCCGUUUGCAUGUACUUUAUGAAUAAGGAUCGGCUAACUCCGUGCCAGCAGCCGCGGUAAUACGGAGGAUCCGAGCGUUAUCCGGAUUUAUUGGGUUUAAAGGGAGCGUAGAUGGAUGUUUAAGUCAGUUGUGAAAGUUUGCGGCUCAACCGUAAAAUUGCAGUUGAUACUGGAUAUCUUGAGUGCAGUUGAGGCAGGCGGAAUUCGUGGUGUAGCGGUGAAAUGCUUAGAUAUCACGAAGAACUCCGAUUGCGAAGGCAGCCUGCUAAGCUGCAACUGACAUUGAGGCUCGAAAGUGUGGGUAUCAAACAGGAUUAGAUACCCUGGUAGUCCACACGGUAAACGAUGAAUACUCGCUGUUUGCGAUAUACUGCAAGCGGCCAAGCGAAAGCGUUAAGUAUUCCACCUGGGGAGUACGCCGGCAACGGUGAAACUCAAAGGAAUUGACGGGGGCCCGCACAAGCGGAGGAACAUGUGGUUUAAUUCGAUGAUACGCGAGGAACCUUACCCGGGCUUAAAUUGCAGAUGAAUUACGGUGAAAGCCGUAAGCCGCAAGGCAUCUGUGAAGGUGCUGCAUGGUUGUCGUCAGCUCGUGCCGUGAGGUGUCGGCUUAAGUGCCAUAACGAGCGCAACCCUUGUUGUCAGUUACUAACAGGUUUUGCUGAGGACUCUGACAAGACUGCCAUCGUAAGAUGUAAGGAAGGUGGA
rnacentral:rRNA from 1 species